rnacentral:rRNA from 1 species
GUCUUUUUGGUAUUUAAUAUAAAGUCUAACCUGCCCACUGAAAUUAAUUUAAAGGGCCGCAGUAUUUUGACUGUGCAAAGGUAGCAUAAUCAUUAGUCUUUUAAUUGAAGGCUGGUAUGAAUGGUUGGAUAAGAUACAAGCUGUGUCAUAAAAAUUAAUAAUUGAAUUUAACUUUUUAGUUAAAAGGCUAAAAUAAAAUUAAAAGACGAGAAGACCCUAUAGAGCUUUAUAUAAUAAUUAUUUAAGUUAUUUAGUUUUUUAAAAUUUAAUUUUUAUAUUAUAUUUUGUUGGGGUGACAAUAAAAUUUAUAAAACUUUUAUUUUUAAUUUACAUUAAUUUAUGGUUAAAUGAUCCAGUUUUACUGAUUAUAAGUUUAAGUUACCUUAGGGAUAACAGCGUAAUUUUUUUUGAGAGUUCUUAUCGACAAAAAAGAUUGCGACCUCGAUGUUGGAUUAAGAGUAAUUUUGGGUGUAGAAGUUCAAAAUUUAAGUCUGUUCGACUUUUAAAUUCUUACAU